AGAGACGAGCCGGCGUCGUGUCGUGCGUUUUGAAAAACGACCCAGGGAGUGCACUUGAUUGGCGAGUCUAACCCGUGAACCGGGGAAGGCGCAGGGAAACCGAUACGGCCGCAGCACAUUCGUGCGAGGGCCACCGUGUUCAAGCGCGGGGAGUCAAUCGGGUGCGACCCGAAACCAGGCGAUCUACGCGCGAGCAAGGUGAAGCGUGGCGAAAGCCACGUGGAGGCCUGUUAGAGUUGGUGUUCUACAAUACCCUCUCGUGACUCGUGUGUAGGGGUGAAAGGCCCAUCGAGCCUGGCAACAGCUGGUUCCAACCGAAACAUGUCGAAGCAUGACCUCUCCCGAGAUAGCCCGCGGGGUAGAGCUACCGAUUGGAUGACCCGCCUCCGAGAGGAGUCGGCCAUCCUGUCGAACUCCAAACCCGCAGGCGUCGCAGACGGAGGGAGUCCGGUGCGCGGGGUAAGCCUGUGUACCGUGAGGGGAACAACCCAGAGCCGGGUUAAGGUCCCAAAGUGUAGAUUAAGUGCGAUUCGAAGGUGGUCUCAAGCCCUAAACAGCCGGGAGGUGAGCUUAGAAGCAGCUACCCGCUAAGAAAAGCGUAACAGCUUACCGGCCGAGGUUUGAGGCGCCCAAAAUGAUCGGGGCUCAAAUCUACCACCGAGACCUGGCCGUGCCCGUGACAGGGCAACCGCGUAGGUUGGCGUACUGGUCGGACGGAAGCCCGGGCGAGAGCUCGUGUGGACCGUCCAGUAACGACAAUCCUGGUCACAGUAGCAGCGAUAGUCGGGUGAGAACCUCGACGGCCUGAAGAGCAAGGGUUCCUCGGCACUGCAGAUCAGCCGAGGGUUAGCCGGUCCUAAGGUGUACCACAACUUGACUACACCGACGGGAAGCUGGUUAAUAUUCCAGCGCCAUCGUGCAGUAAACGCCGACGCCGUGUGGAACGCUGAGCCGGGCACUCGCCCGGUCGAAUCGUGGAAACUCGUGGACGCCGUCACGGCACGAAGCGAGCGAAACGCGAGACAGCGAAAGUCAGCCGUACAUAGGGCCCGUGAAAAGGCAAGCGCGAUGUCCGUACCGAGAUCCGACACAGGUGCUCUGCCAGCGCAAGGCAAGGCCUGUCGGGAGAACCGACGUUAGGGAAUUCGGCAAGUUAGUCCCGUACCUUCGGAAGAAGGGAUGCCUGCUCUCUGAGGAGCAGGUCGCAGUGACUCGGGCGCUCCGACUGUCUAGUAACAACACAGGUGACCGCAAAUCCGCAAGGACUCGUACGGUCACUGAAUCCUGCCCAGUGCGGGUAUCUGAACACCUCGUACAAGAGGACGAAGGACCCGUCAACGGCGGGGGUAACUAUGACCCUCUUAAGGUAGCGUAGUACCUUGCCGCUUCAGUAGCGGCUUGCAUGAAUGGAUAAACGAGAGCGCCACUGUCCCAACGUUGGACCCGGUGAACUGUACGUUCCAGUGCGGAGUCUGGAGACCCCCAAGGGGAAGCGAAGACCCUAUAGAGCUUUACUGCAGGCUGUCGCUGAGACGUGGUCGCCGAUGUGCAGCAUAGGUAGGAGUCGUUACACAGGUACGUGCGCCAGCACGCCACCGAGACAGCAUUGAAAUACUACCCGUCGGUGACUGCGACUCUCACUCCGGGAGGAGUACACCGGUAGCCGGGCAGUUUGACUGGGGCGGUACGCGCUCGAAAAGAUAUCGAGCGCGCCCGAAGAUCAUCUCAGCCGGGUCGGGAAUCCGGCGAAGAGCGCAAGAGCACAAGAUGGUCUGACAGUGUUCUUCCCAACGAGGAACGCUGACGCGAAAGCGUGGUCUAGCGAACCUACGAGGUUCCGGAAUGGGACCCGUAGAUGACAGAAAAGCUACCUUAGGGAUAACAGAGUCGUCACUCGCAAGAGCACAUAUCGACCGAGUGGCUUGCUACCUCGAUGUCGGUUCCCUCCAUCCUGCCCGUGCAGACGCGGGCAAGGGUGAGGUUGUUCGCCUAUUAAAGGAGGUCGUGAGCUGGGUUUAGACCGUCGUGAGACAGGUCGGCUGCUAUCUAUUGGGGGUGUGAGGUACCUGACGUGAACGAACGUAUAGUACGAGAGGAACUACGUUUGGUCGCCACUGGUGUAUCGGUUGUCCGGAAGGGCAGCUGCCGAGUAGCCACGCGACACGGGGUAAGAGCUGAACGCAUCUAAGCUCGAAACCCACAUGGAAAAGAGGUACCACAGAGGUCACUCGUAGAAGACGAGUUCGAUAGACUCGGGGUGUACGCACCGAGGCAACGAGGUGUUAAGCCCACGAGAACUAACAGACCGAGCC
rnacentral:rRNA from 1 species